rnacentral:rRNA from 1 species
UACGGAGGGGGCAAGCGUUGUCCGGAUUUACUGGGCGUAAAGAGCGCGUAGGCGGAACGUUAAGUCCGAUCUGAAAGCCCCCGGCUCAACCGGGGAGGGUGGUUGGAAACUGGCGUUCUUGAGGGCGAUAGAGGAAGGUGGAAUUCCUGGUGUAGCGGUGAAAUGCGUAGAGAUCAGGAGGAACACCAGUGGCGAAGGCGGCCUUCUGGGUCGACCCUGACGCUGAGGCGCGAAAGCGUGGGGAGCGAACGGG